rnacentral:rRNA from 1 species
UACGAAGGGGGCUAGCGUUGUUCGGAAUUACUGGGCGUAAAGGGCGCGUAGGCGGUACUUCAAGUCAGGCGUGAAAGCCCCGGGCUCAACCUGGGAACCGCGCUUGAGACUGGAGAACUAGAGUUCGGGAGAGGAUGGUGGAAUUCCCAGUGUAGAGGUGAAAUUCGUAGAUAUUGGGAAGAACACCGAUGGCGAAGGCAGCCAUCUGGACCGACACUGACGCUGAGGCGCGAAAGCGUGGGGAGCAAACAGGAUAGAUACCCGU